rnacentral:rRNA from 1 species
GACGAACGCUGGCGGCGUGCCUAACACAUGCAAGUCAACUUGACUGAAGGAGCAAUCUGACAGUAGUGUGGCGCAAGGGUGCGUAACGCGUAAGUAACUUGCCCAAGGUAAGGAAUAACGUCGAGAAAUCGGCGCUAAUACCUCAUAAUGCAGCGGAUCCGCAUGGAUAUGUUGUUAAAGGUUUACCGCCUUGGGAUAGGCUUGCGUCUGAUUAGCUAGUUGGUGUGGUAACGGCACACCAAGGCUACGAUCAGUAACUGGUCUGAGAGGAUGAUCAGUCACACUGGAACUGAGACACGGUCCAGACUCCUACGGGAGGCAGCAGUGAGGAAUAUGGGUCGAAUAGCUCG